rnacentral:misc_RNA from 1 species
AACAAGGCGUACCUGCGGACCUGCGGAGGGAUCAUUAACAAAUCUGGGUUGGUUGGGGGUGUUGGGUUGGGGGAGGGGGUUUGUUUGGAUGGAGGUGGGUGUUGGAUGCAAGUCCUUGCUCUACUUUUGUCCUCGCUUGCUUUACUCUGUCCAUGCUUACCUCUACUCUUAACCACGCACAAUCCACAACCAUACACAUUCACGCUUGUAGUGUAUGACUGAGUACAAGUGGUAUAUUAA